AUUGAACGCUGGCGGCAUGCCUUACACAUGCAAGUCGAACGGUAACAGGUCUUCGGAUGCUGACGAGUGGCGAACGGGUGAGUAAUACAUCGGAACGUGCCUAGUAGUGGGGGAUAACUACUCGAAAGAGUGGCUAGUACCGCAUGAGAUCUACGGAUGAAAGCAGGGGAUCGCAAGACCUUGUGCUACUAGAGCGGCCGAUGGCAGAUUAGGUAGUUGGUGGGAUAAAAGCUUACCAAGCCGACGAUCUGUAGCUGGUCUGAGAGGACGAUCAGCCACACUGGGACUGAGACACGGCCCAGACUCCUACGGGAGGCAGCAGUGGGGAAUUUUGGACAAUGGGCGCAAGCCUGAUCCAGCAAUGCCGCGUGCAGGAUGAAGGCCUUCGGGUUGUAAACUGCUUUUGUACGGAACGAAAAGCCCCGGGUUAAUACCCUGGGGUCAUGACGGUACUGUAAGAAUAAGCACCGGCUAACUACGUGCCAGCCGCCGCGGUAAAAC
rnacentral:rRNA from 1 species